rnacentral:rRNA from 1 species
UGGGGAAUAUUGGACAAUGGACCAAGAGUCUGAUCCAGCAAUUCUGUGUGCACGAUGACGUUUUUCGGAAUGUAAAGUGCUUUCAGUUGGGAAGAAAAAAAUGACGGUACCAACAGAAGAAGUGACGGCUAAAUACGUGCCAGCAGCCGCGGUAAUACGUAUGUCACAAGCGUUAUCCGGAUUUAUUGGGCGUAAAGCGCGUCUAGGUGGUUAUGUAAGUCCGAUGUGAAAAUGCAGGGCUCAACUCUGUAUUGCGUUGGAAACUGUGUAACUAGAGUACUGGAGAGGUAAGCGGAACUACAAGUGUAGAGGUGAAAUUCGUAGAUAUUUGUAGGAAUGCCGAUGGGGAAGCCAGCUUACUGGACAGAUACUGACGCUGAAGCGCGAAAGCGUGGGUAGCAAACAGGAUUAGAUACCCUGGUAGUCCACGCCGUAAACGAUGAUUACUAGGUGUUGGGGGUCGAACCUCAGCGCCCAAGCAAACGCGAUAAGUAAUCCGCCUGGGGAGUACGUACGCAAGUAUG